UUCUAGUUCAGGGGGUGGGAGGCAUAGGCAGAAGUGAAAGACCUCCGAAGGGAGACCCCCAUUCAAGUCUUGGGAUAAUAGCAGACCCCCAAGAACUCACGAGAGACU
rnacentral:pre_miRNA from 7 species